rnacentral:rRNA from 1 species
UUUAUUGGAGAGUUUGAUCCUGGCUCAGGACGAACGCUGGCGGCAUGCCUAAUACAUGCAAGUCGAGCGGAGUUGAUAGGAAGCUUGCUUCCUUGAUACUUAGCGGCGGACGGGUGAGUAACACGUAGGCAACCUGCCCUCAAGUUUGGGACAACUACCGGAAACGGUAGCUAAUACCGAAUAGUUGUUUUCUUCGCCUGAAGGAAACUGGAAAGACGGAGCAAUCUGUCACUUGGGGAUGGGCCUGCGGCGCAUUAGCUAGUUGGUGAGGUAACGGCUCACCAAGGCGACGAUGCGUAGCCGACCUGAGAGGGUGAUCGGCCACACUGGGA